rnacentral:piRNA from 1 species
UCCAAAGGAUGGGAUGCAUG